GACGAACGCUGGCGGCGUGCUUAACACAUGCAAGUCGAGCGGUAAGGCCCUUUCGGGGGUACACGAGCGGCGAACGGGUGAGUAACACGUGGGUGACCUGCCCUCAGCUCUGGGAUAAGCCUGGGAAACUGGGUCUAAUACUGGAUAUGACUCCACGGUGCAUGUCGUGGGGUGGAAAGCCUUGUGCGGCUGAGGAUGGGCCCGCGGCCUAUCAGCUUGUUGGUGGGGUGANGGCCUACCAAGGCGACGACGGGUAGCCGGCCUGAGAGGGCGACCGGCCACACUGGGACUGAGACACGGCCCAGACUCCUACGGGAGGCAGCAGUGGGGAAUCUUGCGCAAUGGGCGAAAGACCUGACGCAGCGACGCCGCGUGAGGGAUGACGGCCU
rnacentral:rRNA from 1 species